rnacentral:tRNA from 1 species
GGGUGUAUAGCUCAGUGGUAGAGCACAUGCUUAGCAUGCAUGAGGUCUGGAGUUCAAUCCCCAGGUACCUCCA